rnacentral:rRNA from 1 species
GACGAACGCUGGCGGCGUGCUUAACACAUGCAAGUCGAACGGAAAGGCCCUGCUUUUGUGGGGUGCUCGAGUGGUGAAGGGGUGAGUAACACGUGAGUAACCUGCCCUUGACUUUGGGAUAACUUCAGGAAACUGGGGCUAAUACCGGAUAGGAGCUCCUGCUGCAUGGUGGGGGUUGGAAAGUUUCGGCGGUUGGGGAUGGACUCGCGGCUUAUCAGCUUGUUGGUGGGGUAGUGGCUUACCAAGGCUUUGACGGGUAGCCGGCCUGAGAGGGUGACCGGCCACAUUGGGACUGAGAGACGGCCCAGACUCCUACGGGAGGCAGCAGUGGAAAAUAUUGCACAAUGGGCGGAAGCCAGAUGCAGCAACGCCGCGUGCGGGAUGACGGCCUUCGGGUUGUAAACCGCUUUCGCCUGUGACGAAGAGGGAGUGACGGUAAUGGGUAAAGAAGCACCGGCUAACUACGUG